UGUAAUUACUUAAACAUUUUUUUUCUUCUUUCUCAUACGAUCUUUUAAAUUCAGUGAGUGACAUGUGGUUUUCAGGCUGGGUCAGGAAGUUUGCUUGGACGGGGAAAUUCUGUCUGCUGAGACACUAGGGGAGCAAAUGCCUAUGUGGGCACAGGCUGGUCACUGACCUCCUAGGGUUCCCUGACAAUAAAUUAGUCCUAGUUGAGGUCGCCAUCAUCAGAACUUAAUUGGUCCCUGGUACUGGUGAAUCUCUGCACCACAGAGACUAAUCAGUUACAGAACUCAGCUUCUGGGCAUAGGCAACCUUUUCUGUUUUUUCAAUUUUUUGUCAGCAAAGUUGAGAAAAUGAACACACUCAAACAGCCCAUUUCUUAGCUUAUCAAUAUCCGUACCCACUUCUUUCCCUCAUCAACAUGUAUUUUCCAUAUUUUGUUGGUAUUAACCUCUGACACUCAUCCACACAAGAAAGUCUACAAAGCCUAAACUAACUUUUAAACAUUAUUUAAGGUAAUAGCUUUGUCUUCCACCAGAAACCUGGCGACAUUUUUAAAAGGAUUUGAAGAGAUAUAUACCCGAGGGACAGAGAGAAAAAUUAGUGCUGACCAGUCUGGGCCUACUUGACUAACACAAAAUAGAUUAAAU
rnacentral:lncRNA from 1 species